CCUACGGGCGGCAGCAGUAGGGAAUUUUGGGCAAUGGGGGGAACCCUGACCGAGCCACGCCGCGUGAACGAAGAAGUUCUUCGUAUUGUAAAGUACUUUUAACAGGGAAGAAAGAGAAAUUUGACGGUACCUGAAGAAUAAGCUCCGGCAAACUAAGUACCAGCAGCCGCGGUAAUCCGUAGGGAGCGAGCGUUAUCGGGAAUUAUUGGGCGAAAAGGGUGAGUAGAGGGCAUAGUAUGUCUUGGGUAAAAAUGCUGGUCUAAACCCAGUAGGGCAAAAGAUACUGCAAAGCUAGAGUAUGACAGAGGCAAGUGGAACUACAUGUGUAGCGGUAAAAUGCGUAAAGAUAUGUAAGAACACCAGUGGCGAAGGCGGCUUGCUGGGUCGAUACUGACAUUGAGGCACGAAAGCGUGGGGAGCAAACAGGAUUAGAUACCCUUGUAGUC
rnacentral:rRNA from 1 species